CCUCGGUGCAGCAACCAACUACAAAGCAUCAACUGCCCUUGGUUUCUUCCUGGAGUCUGUAGAGAAGCAUGGCUUUCCAUUAAGGUUUUGAACGGUUAUGGCAGGAUGUGUGGAUGGCCAUGUCACAUCUUUUACAAUGUCCUACACUUUGGAAGAUGAGGGCUCCCUUGACCCGUCAAACAGCCUACACCUAUUCUGUGCACACUCUGUAUUCCUCCCUCGCCGCCAAGCAGACCUAGACACCUUUACCAAUGGAUGAGACUGAGCAAAAUCUAACCCCCAACCAGCUAUGGGAAAUGGGACAAGCACAGAAUCCUGUCACCUUCCCUGGAUUUAAACAACUUGGACGGGGACGAUGCCUGCCUCCCGGAGGAGCAUGGCCAGGGAAUUGUGGUCCCACCAGUGGAGUGCCCGCUGACAGAGCAGGAUAUGACACUGCUCAGAGCAGCCAUCGACCCAACCUCACCAUCUCGAGACUAUGGACAAGAUAUUUCUGCAUCUGUCUUGAACUACCUGCUGCUACUUACUGAAUGAUCCUUAUGGCUGAAGGAUCCUUAUACCUCUGCUUGAUAUCGUCGCAAGGAAUAUCUGUUUAGUCAAGUCAUUUUAAAUUGCUGCAAUUUUAUGAAAUAUGGUCGCAGCAAAAUUAGACCAAUUGGCUGAUUCUGAUUGGUUACUAAUGUUGUGGAAAAUUAGAUCCAAAGAUUAAGGCAGAUAAUAUCUAAUUGUAUAACAGAAAAAUAUUUAA